GCUGGACACCUAACCAACCGAGCCACCCAGGCGCCCCAGCCCUCCCCUGUUUUAUGGUUGGGGAUUUCACUGCCUCCAAGCUUCAUGAAAGAUGGUAUUUAUGUUUAUGUCUCAUACUCUUCCUUACUCAGGUGGAAUUAAAUGAAUGAUAUCAAGAGCAUGCUCUAAAGUUGCACAAACAAGUUGUGUCUUUCCACAGUGACAGCUUUAUGCAGUCCUAAAGCAAGGUAAUGUAAUUGUCAAGGGGGUUCAGGAUUCCAAACUCAGUGACAUCGCACCAUGUAAUUAACUCAGCUUCUUAUACAGCACGAAAAGCAGAACAUAAGACAAGUCACGCGACAAACAAGAUAACGGAGGGGCUAACAGACCAAACUUGAAGUCAGUCUGUGGGCGCACAAUGGAGAUAAGCCUCUGGCCAGUCUGAGUCAGCUCCCGGCCCUUACCGCCCAUCACGCUCCAGCAAGGAAGGAUCUCGGUUCUGUUCGGAAGUCCUUGGGCAGCCACUGCUUUCUUUUUAAGUG